AUGAUCCAGCUCCUCUUCACCUUGCUGGGCGCGGAGGCGGGCGUGGCGGCCGUCCUGCUCUUCAAGACGCCGCUGCGGAAGCUGGCGAUGCUCGCGCUCGACCGCCUCAAGCGCGGCCGGGCCCCCGUCAUGGUGCGCACCGUCGCCGCCACCGUCCUCGUCGUCCUCGCCUCCAGCCUCCACAGCAUGGCCAAGAUCCACGGCCACGCCGGCGCCGGCGAGCUCGACGCGCCCGGCGCGCUCAGCCCCACCGACCAGGUCCUCCUCGCCCGCCACCUCCUCGAGGCCUCCCUCAUGGGAUAUAUUUUAUUCCUUGCUCUCGUCAUUGACCGGCUACACAGCUACAUCAGAGAGAUGCGAGGGCUGAAGAAGAACCUGGAGGCUGUGUCGAAGCAGAACAAGACCUUAGAAGAAGCAAAAUCUGGAAGGUCCGACGAGAGCAAGCCACACCACAACGACAUUGCUUCGCUGAACGAGGAGAUCAAGAAGCUGAAGCGGCAACUGAAAGAAAAGGCGGAGGAGGCCAAGGAUGCAGAGGCCAAAGCACUAGCUGCCCAGACGCAGUCUGAAGGUCUUGCGCGCAAAUAUGACCGCCUGCUGGAGGACAACAAGCAUCUCCAUGACCAGCUGCAGUCAGGAGACAUCCCGCUGUCGCGUUCGGAUGGCAAGAAGAAUGCCUAA
rnacentral:rRNA from 1 species